rnacentral:antisense_RNA from 1 species
UCUCUGAGUCUCAGUUUCCCCAUCUUCUGAAAGGGGCCUGGCAUAUCCUGGGCAGGCAGAUGGUGCAUCAGAGGCAGUGAGGUGCCCACAAGGAAGUGCUCCCCACAGGUGGCUUGGAGGAAAUCCUCCUUCCUCAGCACUCAUGGAGGCCCCCUGUGGGCCAGGCACUGUUUUAGGCCUUCUGGGUGAGGACCAAGCAGUGACCACAGCUGACAAAACCCCUACCCUUGUGGAAGGAACAUUCUACUGAGGCCCUGGACGUACAAUACCCAAUCCCCCACCUCCCAGCUACCAGAAUGACAGAAGCUCCCCAAUGGAGAUUCCCGGCAUGCCCAGCCCCACGUCUGGGUUGAGAGUAGUGACUCAGCAGAAAACGAAGGCUACUGCUAGCAACCAAAUGAG